CGGGGAGGUUUGGCACCUCGAUGUCGGCUCAUCACAUCCUGGGGCUGUAGUAGGUCCCAAGGGUUGGGCUGUUCGCCCAUUAAAGUGGUACGCGAGCUGGGUUCAGAACGUCGUGAGACAGUUCGGUCCCUAUCCGUCGCAGGCGUAGGAAAGUUGAGAAGACCUGUCCUUAGUACGAGAGGACCGGGAUGGACGUACCUCUGGUGUACCAGUUGUUCUGCCAAGGGCAUGGCUGGGUAGCUAUGUACGGAAUGGAUAAGCGCUGAAAGCAUCUAAGCGCGAAGCCAACUUCAAGAUAAGAUUUCCCACCG
rnacentral:rRNA from 1 species